GUAUGAAUCCAUUGGUUUUGAUAUUGUUAACUAUGUUACUGAACUGCUUGUUUCUCUUCGAGUCGCGCUGGCUGGCUCAUUGGUUCUCUGGGUGAAGUCCCAUCCCUGGCCCGCAGUCCGCACAAUCGAUAUCAACAAGCUACCACUUCUGUAGCAAAACAGACCUACACAACACUAUCCAAAACGAACCACAAAAUCAAUAACAUCAAACAGCCGGAACUAUUAACAAAUGAACAACACUAACCGCUAACCAACAAGGAUCGGGUCCCGGUUCCAGGCCCAGCGUACCCACCCUACCUGAGACGAUCACCUGAUCUCCCUGGUCUCCCUCAUUUUGGCCACUAGAUGGCCUGCAUCAGCCCGUGUCAGCUGUCAUGCCUCCUCUCCCCAUCAAUUGAAACUUAGCCGGAAAUUCUUUUCUCUCAAAAUGACAACUCCACUCAGCAAUUUACAAUGUCAUUCAAGCGGACAUUCCUUUCUACUUCACCAGUCGCGAUUAAUUACUAUUGAUAAUGGGUAUUAAUUUAUAAAAUUUCAUUUAAAGCAUAAUAACAACAAAGAGGAGGCGUCAAAUCUUAAUUGAGCGAUUGGCUCCCCCACACAUUCAUGCCGUAUAUACGCAUGUAUAGCCAUGCUGAAAAAAAAAACCGUCUUCUGCAUCGUUGGCAGCUAACGUUUUAUCUCCCUCAAACAAAUCCAGCAUCCAAUCUCCUUCUGCGGCUCCGGCUCUAUCCACGGGAUCGUUCAUGAUUGCUUUUAGGGCUGAGCGCAAUUGAUGAAUUGAGACGCUUUCUCAAAACUUGCCGCUAAGGGCGCUCAAUAGGGAACUUAAUUCGCUCCUUGAUUUUCUUAAUAUUUCGGUUUAUUUCAUUGCCAAUGAUUUGCAAUGUUAUUUGGGUAUACCCCACACCUGAUUUGUAAAAUACAAAUGGCCGUUGGCUUUAUUUUUAUAAUUCGCGUCCGUUCCAUACGGCUCAGAUUUCAGAAUUGAAUUCCUAUUUCUUCUUCUUUCUGUUUUUGUUUGAAGUAUCGAUAUCGUCACCGAUAUCCGAUAUUUGGUACUUGGUAUCGUCAACGAUAUCGAUACUUCAAGCAUAUUGCACUGAGUACGUGCGUCAAAUUAGCGGCGGUGACUUAGCGUUGAUUUUUGGUACUUGGUAUCGGAAAAGAAAUCGGUCACUUUUAAAUGCAUUUUUUUUAAUGUUUUUAAGCACAAAACCCAAUAAAUUUAAAUGCACAAUUGCAAAAUAUUAAAUUA